rnacentral:rRNA from 1 species
UACGAAGGGGGCUAGCGUUGUUCGGAAUUACUGGGCGUAAAGCGCACGUAGGCGGAUAUUUAAGUCGGGGGUGAAAUCCCGGGGCUCAACCCCGGAACUGCCUUCGAUACUGGGUAUCUUGAGUUCGGAAGAGGUGAGUGGAAUUGCGAGUGUAGAGGUGAAAUUCGUAGAUAUUGGGAAGAACACCGGUGGCGAAGGCGGCUAUCUGGACCGUAACUGACGCUGAGGCGCGAAAGCGUGGGGAGCAAACAGG